rnacentral:rRNA from 1 species
GAAUAUUGGGCAAUGGACGCAAGUCUGAUCCAGCCAUGCCGCGUGCAGGAAGAAGGCCUUCUGGGUUGUAAACUGCUUUUACCAGGGGAUAAAAAGCCCAUGCGUGGGAAAUUGAAGGUACCUGGUGAAUAAGCCACGGCUAACUACGUGCCAGCAGCCGCGGUAAUACGUAGGUGGCAAGCGUUGUCCGGAUUUAUUGGGUUUAAAGGGUGCGUAGGCGGUCUUUUAAGUCAGUGCUGAAAUAUCCCGGCUUAACCGGGAGGGUGGCAUUGAUACUGAAGGACUUGAGUAAAGUUGAGGUAGGCGGAAUUGACGGUGUAGCGGUGAAAUGCUUAGAUAUCGUCAAGAACACCGAUAGUGUAGACAGCUUACUAAGCUUUAACUGACGCUGAGGCACGAAAGUGUGGGGAUCAAAC